AGUGAACGCUGGCGGUAGGCCCAACACAUGCAAGUCGAACGGCAGCACAGUAAGAGCUUGCUCUUACGGGUGGCGAGUGGCGGACGGGUGAGGAAUACAUCGGAAUCUACUUUUUCGUGGGGGAUAACGUAGGGAAACUUACGCUAAUACCGCAUACGACCUACGGGUGAAAGUAGGGGAUCUUCGGACCUUGCGCGAUUGAAUGAGCCGAUGUCGGAUUAGCUAGUUGGCGGGGUAAAGGCCCACCAAGGCGACGAUCCGUAGCUGGUCUGAGAGGAUGAUCAGCCACACUGGAACUGAGACACGGUCCAGACUCCUACGGGAGGCAGCAGUGGGGAAUAUUGGACAAUGGGCGCAAGCCUGAUCCAGCCAUACCGCGUGGGUGAAGAAGGCCUUCGGGUUGUAAAGCCCUUUUGUUGGGAAAGAAAAGCAGCAGGUUAAUACCCCGCUGUUCUGACGGUACCCAAAGAAUAAGCACCGGCUAACUUCGUG
rnacentral:rRNA from 1 species